ensembl:lncRNA
AAGAAUUAGUUCAGGAUGUCUGUCACGACCGUAUCUCCGAGUAAGUGCCCCGACCAGCGCCCCAUAAUCACGUCUUUGAUCCGGGCUAAGCAAUAUCAGGCAAGCAACUGCUUCUCCGGAUAGGCACAUCGCUAACUGCAGCGCUCUCUGCUCCUCUUUCCAGCCAACCGAGUCUGCUAAAAGUUCGAAUUGGGCCAUGAAAGCUUCAAAGUCGGCAUCACCAGAGAACUUAGGUGUCUUCACACUACAGUUAGCUACCGGGUACUGCGCCGCGCCAUAUUUGUUGACAUUGCCAUAGUAAUGCUGAUCGUCGCGCCGUGACGUCGGCAUUGGGUCCUUUAUGUCCGGAGCGGCGCCCUGUAGUUGCGUCAGAUCCAGCUUGGCGGGUAAAGCACCGACGAAGACGUUCUCUCUCCCCCUCAGGUCUCGCGCCCAGCAUCUUCCCUCACGCAACUCGAUACGUUAUCCGAGUUGACGACUAAACUAGCCCUCCGACCGAGGCGGCAGUUCGAAAGCGCUUCUGACACCAGUGUAACACCCCUGGUCGGGAUGCUAAAUCAGGAGCCGGAGUCAGAGGAGUGGAGCCACGAGAGAGAGAGAGCUUCCCAAACCCCACCUUAUAUAAGCAAUGGCCUGAGACCCCUGGACCCGCCCCUGCUGUCCCCAAGUCCCCCAGAGAUGCCCUCCUCACUGCGGGACGUCCCACCAGAAAUCAAGACUCAUCAGACCAGGCAACAUUCUUCCAGUCUUCAACUGUCCAAUUUUGGUGAGCUCGUG